AUGAAAUCGAGAGCCUGUUGCUGGUGCGGAAACGCACAUCGUGCACGGCUUCCGUGUUCAAUCCAUUUCAACCCCCUUGUGCACCUUAUGGAAGUCAGUAGUCUUUCUCUUUUUGUUUGCCGGUUGUGUGUGGGAACCUCUUUCUGUUCACUUGGCCGGCGAGGAGAAAUAGAGGGUCGAAAGCUUUGACUUUUCUGUUAAACGCUUUGUAUGUCUUGUGGAACGUAUUAGCUCCUUUGUAGGGGCGAAAUAAAUACCAACUUUCAACAACGGAUCUCUUGGCUCUCGCAUCGAUGAAGAACGCAGCGAAAUGCGAUAAGUAAUGUGAAUUGCAGAAUUCAGUGAAUCAUCGAAUCUUUGAACGCCCCUUGCGCCCCUUGGUAUUCCGAGGGGCAUGCCUGUUUGAGUGUCAUGUUAAUCUCAAACCCCUUGUCUUUUUUGUUGACUUGGUCGGUUUGGACUUGGAGGUGUUGCUGGCGUGCGUCGGCUCCUCUUAAUUGCCUUAGCUGGACUUUGGUUCGCAUUUGACGGUGUUAUAGUAAAGUGUUCGCCGGGCGUGCUUGCCUAACGGUUCUGCUUCUAAUCGUCUUCGGACAACUCUGUUCAUUUUGACCUUUGACCUCAAAUUAGGUAGGACUACCGGCUGAACUUAAGCAUAUCUAUAAGCGGAGGAAUA
rnacentral:rRNA from 1 species